CAAUAGCGUAUAUUAAAGUUGUUGCGGUUAAAAAGCUCGUAGUUGGAUUUCUGCUGAGAACGACCGGUCCGCCCUCUGGGUGUGUAUCUGGCUCUUUCUUGGCAUCUUCUUGGUGAACGUUGCUGCACUUGACUGUGUGGAGCGCUACCCAGGACUUUUACUUUGAGGAAAUUAGAGUGUUUCAAGCAGGCAUACGCCUUGAAUACAUUAGCAUGGAAUAAUAAGAUAGGACCUCGGUUCUAUUUUGUUGGUUUCUAGAGCUGAGGUAAUGAUUAAUAGGGAUAGUUGGGGGCAUUCGUAUUUAACUGUCAGAGGUUAAAUUCUUGGAUUUGUUAAAGACGGACUACUGCGAAAGCAUUUGCCAAGGAUGUUUUCAUUGA
rnacentral:rRNA from 1 species